rnacentral:rRNA from 1 species
UACGUAGGGUGCAAGCGUUGUCCGGAAUUAUUGGGCGUAAAGAGCGUGUAGGCGGCCAGAUAAGUCCGCUGUGAAAUCUCGAGGCUCAACUUCGAGCUGUCGGUGGAAACUAUCUGGCUAGAGUCCGGAAGAGGAGAAUGGAAUUCCUGGUGUAGCGGUGAAAUGCGCAGAUAUCAGGAAGAACACCCGUGGCGAAGGCGGUUCUCUGGGACGAUACUGACGCU